rnacentral:rRNA from 1 species
GUCUAUGGCCAUGCCACCCUGAACAAGCCCAAUCCUGUCUGAUCUUGGAAACUAAGCAAGAUCGGGCCUGGUUAGUACUUGGAUGGGAGACCACCUAGGAAGACCAGGUGCUGGAUU